rnacentral:rRNA from 1 species
UACGUAGGGGGCAAGCGUUGUCCGGAUUUAUUGGGCGUAAAGAGCGUGUAGGCGGCCUGGUAGGUCAGCUGUGAAAACUCGAGGCUCAACCUCGAGACGCCGGUUGAAACCAUCAGGCUAGAGUCCGGAAGAGGAGAGUGGAAUUCCCGGUGUAGCGGUGAAAUGCGCAGAUAUCAGGAAGAACACCAAUGGCGAAAGCAGCUUUCUGGGACGGUACUGACGCUGAGACGCGAAAGCGUGGGGAGCGAACAGG